GUGAAACCGCAUGCAGGUAAACGGGUGGCGUCAAGCUGCAAGCCCGGAGGAUUCAGCUGGCUAGGAUGUUGUGUAUGCGCCUGGCGCAUCUAUCAGCCGGAGUAAGAUGUGAUAGUCCACUGGUAAACGGUGGGCCCGGCCGCAAGGUUGGGAUAUGUGUACCGGGCGGAAGCCGGAGCAUGCUAUUCGUCUGUUGGGCUGUCUAGUCAGUGCACUUUCUCUGUGGUGAACACCACGACCGGUGGAAUUGCCAGUCUGCUGUAGUCAAGUCGUAUUCAGUCGGUUCUUGUAGCCAACUGGGUGCGAUCACAGGCAAACUCAGUAAACGGCGUAGGGGUGUCUCGGCAUCCUUGCGUGUUAUCGGCUGCUGGUUGUCAACGGGCCUGCCUGAUGAUUGUUGUAACCGUCAUUGGGUGGUCUGGUGGGCUAUGGUGGUAAGAAUAACUGUGCAAGGCAUCGGAGUUCUCGGCCUCAAAUGCAUCCUGCAUACACGUUACAAGUGGAGUGGGGUGCCAUUGCAGCCUGCCUGUUGUUGGGUCUGAUUGUCGUGUCGCCUGCGCAAAGUGGGCCCGGCAGUGGCCUGAUGCGGGAUGGGUUGUGGAUGGUGCUUCCUGUGUAGGGUGCGGUGGGUCAAAUAGUCAGUGGUGUA
rnacentral:rRNA from 1 species